GUAAAAUUUUUUGUACUAUGUUUUCUGCUUUCUCGUAGUAAAGUGGCUUCAACAUUGUAUAAUUUGCUAAGUGCACUGAAGUGUCACAAAUGACUUUAUUUAAAAAAGACUUUUAAAGGCCAAGCACUCGACUUUUGAGCUCCUCUUUGAGGGACUCUGAGGAAGAUGAUGCUUUACAGCAAGAUUCCACAGGUCUUCCUGCUCCUCCACCAGUCUAUCAUUUUGAUCGACCCACAGAGGGGACUUCAAUAUCCUUUACAGAAAUGCUGACCAGUAACCACGCCAUUUACAGAGUUGGGCCAUGUUCAGCUGCAGUGUGAUACAGAACAACACAUUGAGAAACAGAUAGUCUUUGAAGACCUUAAGUAGCUGGGUCGUGUGUGUUUAAUUAGGAUUUCACAUGUGAAUGUAAGUGUAUCAUCCCAAAUCUAUAUGAAAUGAAGGGUAUAGGUCAGAGGUCUCCAACAAGAUCCACAGUCCUGGAGAGUUUAGCUCCAACCCUAAUUAAACACACACGACCCAGCUAUUUAAGGUCUUCAAAGACUGCUUAUCUGUUUCUCAAUGUGUUGUUCUUUAUCACACUGCAGCUGAACAUGGCCCAACUCUGUAAAUGACUUCAGUGGCCUCCAUGUUUACAUGUGACAGCGUGCUGUGGUGAUGUGUUUUUUUGUUUGUUUGUUUGUUUUUUGUGCGCAUACGGGUCAGUUUAAGACCAUGAUCAGUUCAUGCUGAAAUAUGACAUUGGCCACAUUUUAAAAAUUAGAAUUGAGCAAUGAGGCUUGCAGUGUGAAUGUAGCCUUUGUGUCCUUGUGGACUCCUUUAACGUCAUCAUCCACUGCCGAAGUUCAAGUCCACUGCUCAAGAACGCAAAUACAGAGGACAUAAAAAUUCCCAGAUGUAUUAUUCUUGAUAUUGAGGAUGCAUUGGAUAGUGAGCUGUGCACAAGUUUGAAAAUCCCAGAAGUCUUUGGGGCACUAUGACGCUGGGCAAUAGAAGCUGUCGAUCAAUGUUAGGAUUGAUUCAAAAGAUUUGAAAAAUUCAUAUUGUCAAAAUUAGUGUGAUAUUUAAUGUAUUUGAUGUGAUAUUUUAACGUCCAAACCCACAACAGCCUCAAUAGAGUCUAUUACACGGAUACCAAAGGACUCCUCAGACCCCUACUCCUGAAGUUAUUGUCACUCCACAAGAGCCUUCAAGAUCUGGGUUCCAAGAAACACCUUUCUGUGGAAAGACCUCUACAGCCACCUGUAGUCAGUGCCAGUAAUUUGGUGUAGGCCAAAACUAGCAAGUAUUUGGACGGUGACACUAUUUGGAUACGUUUGGCUCUGUAUGCCACCACAAUGGAUUUGAAAUGAAACAACUGAGAUGCAAUUGAACUGCAGACUUUGUUGUGGAUAAAAAUGACAUGAAAUAAACACGAGGGAGACCUAGUAUGAGUAAUAUGUAAUUUUAUUGAAAAUUCACAGGACUGGUUGGAUUCACACUUUAAGAUCUUUAAGAGUAACACACUAUGGUUUAUUAGUCACAGAGAAAUAUAAGAGCUGAGGAGGGCAGGCUGAGAAACACACACACUCUCGUACAGUCAAGGGCGGGCGUGCAGACAUAACACACACAAAGGCCCCAACGCACACACACAUAACAACAUGAGACUAAGGUCUCUCUAAAAUUGUUUUCUCUCUCUCCCACUUUCAAUCCUAAUGGUAGUCAGAAAGUCCUCUUUCAAAACAUCAUGUUAAAUUUGAUAAACCUUUUUUUAAACAUCAUGGUAAUGUAGCUCUUUUUAAAGCUCUUUUUAACCCUAUUGGUAUUGAAAUCAUAGUCUUUUUAAAAUAUAUUGGUUAUCUACUGUGUAAAUACAGUAUAAAUACUGGAGCUUGAGCUCCAGGUGUCAGAUCACUUCUGAGAAUUCUCAUCAUUGUGGAUCUCGUGAGGUGGAAAUAAAAUCUGGACCCUUGCUUCUUCUCA